GGGGUUGUGGCUCAGUGGUAGAGCACUCACCUAGCACAUGUGAGGCACUGGGUUUGAUCCUCAGCACCACA
rnacentral:tRNA from 1 species